ACAACGGGUGGAGCUUGCGGUUUAAUUGGAUUCAACGCCGAAAUCUUACCGGGACCGACAGCAAUAUGAAGGCCAGGCUGAAGACUUUGCCGGAUUAGCUGAGAGGUGGUGCAUGGCCGUCGUCAGUUCGUACUGUGAAGCAUCCUGUUAAGUCAGGCAACGAGCGAGACCCACGCCCACAGUUGCCAGCGUACUCUCUGGAGUGACGGGUACACUGUGGGGACCGCCGCUGCUAAAGCGGAGGAAGGAAUGGGCAACGGUAGGUCAGUAUGCCCCGAAUAUCCCGGGCUACACGCGAGCUACAAUGGUUGGUACAAUGGGUAUCUACCCCGAAAGGGGACGGGAAUCUCCUAAAACCAAUCUUAGUUCGGAUUGAGGGCUGCAACUCGCCCUCAUGAAGCUGGAAUCCGUAGUAAUCGCGUUUCAACAGAACGCGGUGAAUACGUCCCUGCUCCUU
rnacentral:rRNA from 1 species